CCAUGGCUUGUUACCUCCCCAGCCCCCACACCACCCGGGGGAUGCAAACGUGAAAAGAUGCUUCUAUCGCUUUUCCUGAAAGCAAGGAAGGAUCGAAAAGGGGGAAAGGAUAUUUGACUUAUUUUCACUGUGUGUUGGUUUUUACUGCCUAGAACAAAAGAGGCUCCCAAAGGCAGGCUGUAUCCUGACAGGUCGGUCUGUGCUCUUGUUAUUUUAUUCCGCGGGAGGAAGCGCCCAGCUCGGGACCACGGAGCUGUGAAUGAAUCUAAGCAGGGCAAGUGUAGAAUGCUUUACAGGCCCUAGCCGGUGCCUAGGACACUAGGGAGAUAGAACCCUACACCCACAGCAGCACGGCACCUUCACAAAGGAUGGAGUGACAACUCAUACACGUUCCCUUCAAUGGAGUCUGCUCUGUUGGGGAAAGGGAGGGCCGGUCAGCCCCACCCCCGCCCCGCUUUAUUCUUGCUUGGGGAUGUUUAUCCUGCUCUGUUCUCAUUGUCCAUGUUUCCUGACGUGUUGCCCUUGACUUGGAAUAAACAGACGUCUCUGAAAGACCUGUCUCUGAAUUUUUGAAAUACGAUCGCAUGAUAGUACAACACAUCUGAAGACGGUCAAGUUCCCAAAUGCCCCUGCCCUCAGGGGCUGUGGUGCUCAUUCUGGGUAGUCCAGUGUGGAGAAAGACCAGCUGUUUUGUUGUGUAAACAUCUCCAGUGAUUCAUCUGGGAUGGGAAGGAAGAUCGCUUUCAACUGAGAAACUGCGGUGGAUACUGUGGGCCUAUUGAAAAUAAAAGGAACCCUCCACCCUCCGAGAGACCCGGCAAGCAUCUGAAAGAGUCAGAAGCAGAUACUAGCACCCAACCAAUGGAGAGAAGCCGGGGGGAAGGAAGGCCCCGUGAAAGACCAGAAGUUUCAACUGACCUUGACCCCUGAGAUCUCUCAGACACGGAGUCACCAACCAGGCAGCAUACACUAGCUGAUGAAAAGGAAAUGAAAUGAGAGAUGUGCUUCAGAAAUCCAGAGAUUCAAUAACAACACGCAGAGGGAGGAAAAGUCUAGUUCUCAACAAACCACAAACAGAAAGGAUCCAGACGAGAACUGUAUACAUGGAAGAAAGACAGUCGUUCGGUAUAUUAUGGCUAAAAGUUAAGAACACUCUAGAAUAAAAGCCUGCCGUAAAGCACUUGGGUUGCUAAACGUCUUAUGUUGUUCGAAGCUUACAUCUGAUUUUUUUUUUUUUUUUUUUUUUUGGUAAGUGGCUUUCAAGUACCUUUUUUUUUAAAUGAGAUGUCCUGUUCACCUUGGAAUGAACAAUACUGAUCGCUAUCACAAAAGGUUCUUUUGGAGCCCUCGGCUUAUCUGAACAACAAUUCAGGGAAAGUUCAAAGGGAGAAGAGGAAAAUUAUCUCUAGAAUCUGUUAAGGAAGCAUGAGUGUUUCCCAGGACAGCGACUGGCGUCCAGACUUCUCUGUGGUUUGACAUAACACGGCCAAGACGGGUUUUCAAAAGGGGAGAUAUUAUAAGUUCAAAGACAGCAAAGAAAACUAUUUUGUCUUUUUGACUCUGAGAUGGGACUUAGGUAAGCAAAAUGUUGUGGGCAGGGUGAGAACAGAAGGGGACGACAAAUGCACUCGAUCGAUGUGCUUCUCAAACGCCUUAAAGUCCAAGAGAACACUUAGACUAAGCAGACCGAUUACUGUCAUGCCUACCUGGCUUCCUUGGAAGAACUAAUAAAAGCAUAUUUAACACUA
ensembl:lncRNA